AUCCAUCAUUACGUACGUUUUGUUGACUUGUGUUAUAUUUCUAACUUAAAAGCUUGGCAAAAAUACUUGAUUGUGCAUGCAGAAUUGAGCGUGCUGAACAAUUCUGAGAAAGGAUUGCUUCCAAGGAGGAUAGAUUAACAUCAUAUCACUGGUCAGAAAGACAAGAUUCCAUGAAGGUUCACACAGGCCUCAGGUGCAUUAUGAACCGGAAGAGGUCCCGAACAGUCACAAGCUGGCGAUCAGAGAGUGCCCAGUACAGAGCAAUCGUGUUCUGCAGAGGGGUCCGAAUGGGCUGGCGAUGUGAGAAGUACAACGCGAGUUGUAUACCGGAAAGCGUAUCCACUGCCUCUUGGUAAGUAUCUGAGGUUAGUGCAAAGCUACCAGCGCCAAACUUGUAUCCCCAUUCACCAUACCAAGGAUGGCCACUUGUGAUGGCAUGCAGAAGCCUGUAUUCCAUUCCAUGCUUCUUGGAUAUGUCCAUGACAGUUACUUUCCUGCAGUGAGGUUAGUGAAAUUUUCAGGGUUAUGGCAUGCUGAAUAACCCUCUUUUUGUAGGAACGACACAUGAACCAAAACAUAUCGAUCAAUUUAUACCUCACAUGUAGCACCUUGCACAAGCGAUCCCAGAAACUCAUUAUGUCACGGCCCGUGAGACAUCUUGAGCCACCUUCACGGCCAUUUACCCUCAGAAGGUGGCCAUAACCAUUUGCAUGCACCACAGCGUGCAGCAGGUGGGUGUUGUCGUCCAGAUGCAUGUACCCGCACUCCUCCAGCUCCUCGCCAUCCAUAUCAAAGUUGCAUAGGAGGCAUCUGGAAAACAUUGCAUCCAAAGUUAGCACGAACCACAAUUAGCAUAGGGCAGCAUCAUUCGAUCACCAAAUCUCUCACAAGUUUAAUCUUUGCAUCUAGGCACGAUAAGAACAACUCGACAACUACACCACGAUAUGAAAUAAACUAGGCACAUUAUCAUCCUUCCGCCCGAAACCAAUCGUGGUGUUACAGUUGACUAUAUUUAUCUUCUCUGAAACUAACGGUGCUUGUUCUUCCCACCUUGAUUCUCCAGCGACUGUGGGAGUCCCGCAGCGGAGGCAGCAGCUGUGGCGCUUGCCGCACACCUGGUUGUUGUCGUUCUCGAUGAUGAAAUGGUACCGCUUCCCACAGACCGGGUGACCACUCCAUCCUGCAACCAAACAAAUGGCAUCGCGCAAGAUUACAUCACUGCUUCUGUAGGAUUGAAUUUUUUUCUUCUCUUUUGCAAAAGGAUUGUGACAGCAAUCAAAUGUGGAAAUUGUACAUCAAAAGCAACAGGCCAACAAUACUUGC
rnacentral:sRNA from 1 species